CAAGGAGCUAAGCUUGGAAUUGUCAUCUUUGCAAUGAAAAACAUCUUUUCUUGGAAAAGGACUUCAGUCAGCAAGGUUACUUUCUUGAGUUUACAACCGCUUCAGACUUGGAUCUUUGCCCUCAGGAAGUCAAAGGCUUUUCUUACAACCAUCGGAUUAAGUGCAUAUGGAAGAUGGUGUUAAGGCUUCAGUUAGCAGCUUUCCUCAUCCCUAAUGAUUUUGUGCUUUUCAGGCAUGGCCAUGUAGCAAAACACAACUUCUAACAACUUCCCAACAGCUCCACAUUGCAUUGAGCAUUCUUAGCAAAGGAUGAUGUUACUCACAGCCUGAUGGUCCCAGAAGCCACAGAGCCUAUUUCAGGAGAGCCUGGAAGAGUAUCCCCACUUUACAGCCCCCUGGAGCUCUGCACUACCAACACUCACACCAGUAGGAAGAUGGAGUUUCCUUUAAUUCCCUGGACAACAGGCAUAUACUGACCUUUCCAAAUGGUCUCUAAAAGGUUAGAAUUUUGAGUUCUGAUGCCAUGUGUUUAUCAUGCCAGUAAUUAUCAUCUGUUUUGUUUUUACUCACUUGGGACUGACUCAGUUAAUCAGCUUCCAUGCAUGUGAAUUGUGGAAAGCAGCUACAGGUGUUUCUGUGACAUGGAACAUCAUAAACUCCAGCCAUGACUUAUCCAAUAGCUUUGUUUUCACUAGGGAAUUUGAAGACAGGACAAGUGUUCAAAUCCCAGUGAAAAAGAUGAAA